UCCGCCAUUACUGCGACUUGUUGUCUGAAACCGUGACUGAAGAUGGCAUCUCCCGCCUGUAUGAAGCUUUUCAGGAAGUGCCUUUGACAUCUGACAGGACCACAGGGUGCAUCCUCAGGAGACAUUACAAAUGGCUGCAGAAGCUUGGAAAUCUUGUGUCAGGUUCUGCAUUCGACUAGGGAACUGUGACCGACACAGAAGACCUCUUUGUCCUGCUAUGACAUCUAGAGGCUAACAGGAGCCAACUGAGCCCACCGCCGAUCACAUCUCUUGUGAGACGCCAAAGCAGCUGUUGCCUGGGAAGGAGGAG